GACGAACGCUGGCGGCGUGCUUAACACAUGCCAGUCGAACGGUGAAGGGACCGGUUUUUGCUGGUUCUGGAUGAGUGGCGAACGGGUGAGUAACACGUGAGUAACCUGCCCCCUUCUUCUGGAUAACCGCAUGAAAGUGUGGCUAAUACGGGAUAUUCUGCGCCUGCUGCAUGGUGGGUGUGGGAAAGAUAUUGUUUCGGUGGGGGAUGGGCUCGCGGCCUAUCAGCUUGUUGGUGGGGUGAUGGCCUACCAAGGCGGUGACGGGUAGCCGGCCUGAGAGGGUGGACGGUCACACUGGGACUGAGACACGGCCCAGACUCCUACGGGAGGCAGCAGUGGGGAAUAUUGCACAAUGGGCGCAAGCCUGAUGCAGCGACGCCGCGUGAGGGAUGGAGGCCUUCGGGUUGUAAACCUCUUUCGCCAGUGAAGCAGGCCUGUCCCUUGUGUGGGUGGGUUGACGGUAGCUGGAGAAGAAGCGCCGGCUAACUACGUG
rnacentral:rRNA from 1 species